GUGGGUGAUCUACCUCUGAGUGGGGGAUAACGUUCCGAAAGGAGCGCUAAUACCGCAUGACGUUCUGGGUUUGAAGACCUGGAAACCAAAGUCGGGGACCGCAAGGCCUGAUGCUUGGAGAGGAGCCCGCGCCUGAUUAGCUAGUUGGCGGGGUAAUGGCCCACCAAGGCGACGAUCAGUAGCCGGCCUGAGAGGGCGGACGGCCACACUGGGACUGAGACACGGCCCAGGCUCCUACGGGAGGCAGCAGUGGGGAAUUGUUCGCAAUGGGCGCAAGCCUGACGACGCAACGCCGCGUGGAGGAUGAAGGCCCUCGGGUCGUAAACUCCUGUUGAUCGGGAAGAAUGGGCUCCGGGUGAAUACUCCGGGGCAAUGACGGUACCGAUUGAGGAAGCCACGGCUAACUCUGUGCCAGCAGCCGCGGUAAUACAGAGGUGGCAA
rnacentral:rRNA from 1 species